rnacentral:rRNA from 1 species
UGAGGAAUUUUGGACAAUGGGGGAAACCCUGAUCCAGCGACGCCGCGUGAGGGAUGAAGGUCUUCGGAUUGUAAACCUCUUUUGCCUGGGAAUAACCGCCCCGUGGAAACACGGGGAAUGAAUGUACCAGGCGAAUAAGCCACGGCUAACUUCGUGCCAGCAGCCGCGGUAAUACGAAGGUGGCAAGCGUUACUCGGAAUUACUAGGCGUAAAGGGCAGGUAGGCGGUCUGGUUAGUCUGUUGUGAAAGCUCCUUGCUUAACGGGGAGAGGCCAACAGAUACUGCCAGGCUUGAGUAUAGGAGAGGGUACUGGAAUUCCCGGUGUAGCGGUGAAAUGCGCAGAGAUCGGGAGGAACACCAAUGGCGAAAGCAGGUACCUGGACUAUUACUGACGCUCAGCUGCGAAAGCUAGGGGAGCAAACAGG